rnacentral:rRNA from 1 species
AUUAGAACGCUGGCGGCAUGCUUAACACAUGCAGGUCGAACGGUAACAGGCCCUUCGGGUGCUGACGAGUGGCGGACGGGUGAGUAAUACGUAGGAAUCUGCCUUGUUGAGAGGGAUAGCCUAGGGAAACUUAGGGUAAUACCGCAUAAGCCCGAGAGGGGAAAGCCGGGGAGCCGCGAGGUCCUGGCGCGAUGAGAUGAGCCUACGUCGGAUUAGCUAGUUGGUGGGGUAAAGGCCUACCAAGGCGACGAUCCGUAGCUGGUCUGAGAGGACGACCAGCCACACUGGGACUGAGACACGGCCCAGACUCCUACGGGAGGCAGCAGUGGGGAAUAUUGGACAAUGGGCGGAAGCCUGAUCCAGCAAUGCCGCGUGUGUGAAGAAGGCCUGAGGGUUGUAAAGCACUUUCAGCGGGGAGAAAGAGCUCGUUGCUAAUAUCAACGAAGGAUGAUGUUACCCGCAGAAGAAGCACCGGCUAACUCUGUG